AACGUAGGACACAAGCGUUAUCCGGAGUUACUGGGCGUAAAGGGCGUGUAGGCGGACCUAUAAGUCUAUUCUGAAAGCUCCUGGCUAAACUGGGAGAGGCGAAUGGAGACUGUAGAUCUAGAGUGAGGAAGAGGAAAGUGGAAUUCCGCGUGUAGUGGUGAAAUGCGUAGAGACCCGGAGGAACACCAGUGGCGAAGGCGGCUUCCUGGUCUGCGACUGACGCUGUGGCG
rnacentral:rRNA from 1 species